AACCGGCUCGGCCGGGAUGUUCAUAACCCUUUGUUGUCCGACUCUGUUGCCUCCGGGGCGACCCUGCCUUCGGGCGGGGGCUCCGGGUGGACACUUCAAACUCUUGCGUAACUUUGCAGUCUGAGUAAACUUAAUUAAUAAAUUAAAACUUUUAACAACGGAUCUCUUGGUUCUGGCAUCGAUGAAGAACGCAGCGAAAUGCGAUAAGUAAUGUGAAUUGCAGAAUUCAGUGAAUCAUCGAAUCUUUGAACGCACAUUGCGCCCCCUGGUAUUCCGGGGGGCAUGCCUGUUCGAGCGUCAUUUCACCACUCAAGCCUCGCUUGGUAUUGGGCAACGCGGUCCGCCGCGUGCCUCAAAUCGUCCGGCUGGGUCUUCUGUCCCCUAAGCGUUGUGGAAACUAUUCGCUAAAGGGUGUUCGGGAGGCUACGCCGUAAAACAACCCCAUUUCUAAGGUUGACCUCGGAUCAGGUAGGGAUACCCGCUGAACUUAAGCAUAUCAAUAAGUCGGAGGAA
rnacentral:rRNA from 1 species